rnacentral:rRNA from 1 species
GAGCGCUGUAGCAAUACAGAGCGGCGCNACGGGUGAGUAACACGUGGGAACGUGCCCUUUGGUUCGGAAUAACUCAGGGAAACUUGAGCUAAUACCGGAUAAGCCCUAACGGGGAAAGAUUUAUCGCCGAAGGAGCGGCCCGCGUCGGAUUAGCUAGUUGGUGAGGUAAUGGCUCACCAAGGCUACGAUCCGUAGCUGGUUUGAGAGAACGACCAGCCACACUGGGACUGAGACACGGCCCAGACUCCUACGGGAGGCAGCAGUGGGGAAUCUUGGACAAUGGGGGAAACCCUGAUCCAGCCAUGCCGCGUGAGUGAUGAAGGCCCUAGGGUUGUAAAACUCUUUCGGCGGGGACGAUAAUGACGGUACCCGCAGAAGAAGCUCCGGCUAACUUCGUG